CCUACGGGAGGCAGCAGUGGGGAAUAUUGCACAAUGGGCGCAAGCCUGAUGCAGCCAUGCCGCGUGUGUGAAGAAGGCCUUCGGGUUGUAAAGCACUUUCAGCGGGGAGGAAGGCGGUGAGGUUAAUAACCUCAUCGAUUGACGUUACCCGCAGAAGAAGCACCGGCUAACUCCGUGCCAGCAGCCGCGGUAAUACGGAGGGUGCAAGCGUUAAUCGGAAUUACUGGGCGUAAAGCGCACGCAGGCGGUCUGUCAAGUCGGAUGUGAAAUCCCCGGGCUCAACCGGGGAACUGCAUUCGAAAACGGGCGGGUUAGGGUUUGGUAGGGGGGGGUAGAAUUCCAGGUGUAGCGGUGAAAUGCGUAGAGAUCUGGAGGAAUACCGGUGGCGAAGGCGGCCCCCUGGACAAAGACUGACGCUCAGGUGCGAAAGCGUGGGGAGCAAACAGGAUUAGAUACCCUAGUAGUC
rnacentral:rRNA from 1 species